rnacentral:rRNA from 1 species
AUUGAACGCUGGCGGCAGGCCUAACACAUGCAAGUCGAACGAGUGGCGGACGGGUGAGUAAUGUCUGGGAAACUGCCUGAUGGAGGGGGAUAACUACUGGAAACGGUAGCUAAUACCGCAUACCAUCGGAUGUGCCCAGAUGGGAUUAGCUAGUAGGUGGGGUAAAGGCUCACCUAGGCGACGAUCCCUAGCUGGUCUGAGAGGAUGACCAGCCACACUGGAACUGAGACACGGUCCAGACUCCUACGGGAGGCAGCAGUGGGGAAUUUUGCACAAUGGGCGCAAGCCUGAUGCAGCCAUGCCGCGUGUAUGAAGAAGGCCUUCGGGUUGUAAAGUACUUUCGGCAGGGAGGCGGUACCCGCAGAAGAAGCACCGGCUAACUCCGUGCCAGCAGCCGCGGUAAUUC